GUGUACCCUGAGACCAUCCUGAACAUCCCGGAUCCUGACUAAUCUCAGAAACAAAGCAGGGUUGGGCUGGUUAGUACUUAAAUGGAAGCAGAUAUUUUUUUACUUUUUUUCUUUAGUGGGUUGUACA
rnacentral:rRNA from 1 species